rnacentral:rRNA from 1 species
GUAGGUGGCAAGCGUUGUCCGGAAUUAUUGGGCGUAAAGCGCGCGCAGGUGGUUCUUUAAGUCUGAUGUGAAAGCCCCCGGGCUCAACCGGGGAGGGUCAUUGGAAACUGGGGAACUUGAGUGCAGGAGAGGAAAGUGGAAUUCCACGUGUAGCGGUGAAAUGCGUAGAUAUGUGGAGGAACACCAGUAGCGAAGGCGACUUUCUGGCCUGUAACUGACACUGAGGCGCGAAAGCGUGGGGAGCAAACAGGAUUAGAUACCCUGGUAGUCCACGCCGUAAACGAUGAGUGCUAAGUGUUGGGGGGUUUCCGCCCCUCAGUGCUGCAGCUAACGCAUUAAGCACUCCGCCUGGGGAGUACGGUCGCAAAGACUG